AUGUCCCACUCGUACUCCGGUUCUGAGCGCGCCGUCUGCACCCCUGACGACUGCUCGCUAGGUGUUGUCAGCC
rnacentral:sRNA from 1 species